rnacentral:lncRNA from 10 species
UGGAGAGGUAUUAGGCCUCUUCUCCCCAAGGUUCCCUCCGAGUCUACUGAGGGCUGCCCUUCUUCUCCCUGACCUGGGAGGCGAAAUGAGAUGAAUGGGUUCGUCCUGUUUCACAUUUGCUUGAACCAAGGCCCAGAGAGGGUCAGGGAACCCCUGAGAUCACACAGUGGCUAAGAGAGCCAGGACAGGAGCUUCAGGGAGCUCCACUCUCCCAUGGCAAGGUCACUGACCUUUCCCCAAGGGCAGCAAGGUUCUGGAGCUGCAGGGAAGGGGGCACGCUCCCUGCCAUUCGUCCUGGGUCACGAUUCCAGACAAAAACAAGUUCUAG